rnacentral:rRNA from 1 species
CCUACGGGUGGCAGCAGUGGGGAAUAUUGCACAAUGGGGGAAACCCUGAUGCAGCAACGCCGCGUGAGCGAUGAAGGCCUUCGGGUCGUAAAGCUCUGUCCUAAGGGAAGAAUACUGACGGUACCUUAGGAGGAAGCCCCGGCUAACUACGUGCCAGCAGCCGCGGUAAUACGUAGGGGGCUAGCGUUAUCCGGAAUUACUGGGCGUAAAGGGUGCGUAGGCGGCCCUUCAAGUCAGAGGUGAAAGGCUACGGCUCAACCGUAGUAAGCCUUUGAAACUGUAGGGCCUGAGUGCAGGAGAGGGGAGGGAAAUUCCCGGUGGAGGGGGGAAUGGGGUAGAUAUUGGGGGGAACACAGGUGGCGAGGGGGGCUCUGUGGACUGUAACGGACGCUGGGGCACGAAAGCGUGGGGAGCGAACAGGAUUAGAUACCCGAGUAGUC